GACGAACGCUGGCGGCGUGCUUAACACAUGCAAGUCGAACGGAAAGGCCCUGCUUUUGUGGGGUGCUCGAGUGGCGAACGGGUGAGUAACACGUGAGUAACCUGCCCUUGACUUUGGGAUAACUUCAGGAAACUGGGGCUAAUACCGGAUAGGAGCUCCUGCUGCAUGGUGGGGGUUGGAAAGUUUCGGCGGUUGGGGAUGGACUCGCGGCUUAUCAGCUUGUUGGUGGGGUAGUGGCUUACCAAGGCUUUGACGGGUAGCCGGCCUGAGAGGGUGACCGGGCCACUUGGGGAUGUAGUACGGCCCAGGCCCCUACGGGGGGGAGCAGGGGGGAAUUUUGGACAAUGGGCGGAAGCCUGAAGGCGGCACCCCCCGGGGGGGAGGAAGGCCUUUGGGUUGGAAACCCCUUUCCCCCGGUAAGAAGGGGUGGGGGAGGGUAAGGGGAAAAGAAGCACCGGCUAACUACGUG
rnacentral:rRNA from 1 species